AUAUAGCUACGAUGUACGUAUGUAACAAAGUUUUAACCUCUAAUAUUAAAAUAGGGAGUUUUACAUUGAGACAAUAAUGUCGUGCCGCAUUUAUUGAAAGCGGAAGACAGGAUGGUUUCUGCGAACACCCACCUUCUUGAAUCGGUGGUUUAAAACUCUGUAUCAAACAAUACGGCAAUUGUGGCUAAAUG
rnacentral:other from 1 species